UACGGAGGGAGCUAGCGUUGUUCGGAAUUACUGGGCGUAAAGGGCUCGUAGGUGGCCAACUAAGUCAGACGUGAAAUCCCUCGGCUUAACCGGGGAACUGCGUCUGAUACUGGAUGGCUUGAGUUUGGGAGAGGGAUGCGGAAUUCCAGGUGUAGCGGUGAAAUGCGUAGAUAUCAGGAGGAACACCAAUGGCGAAGGCAGCUCGCUGGGACGGUACUGACGCUGAGACGCGAAAGCGUGGGGAGCAAACAGG
rnacentral:rRNA from 1 species